rnacentral:rRNA from 1 species
GAUGAACGCUGGCGGCGUGCCUAAUACAUGCAAGUCGAGCGAACAGACGAGGAGCUUGCUCCUCUGACGUUAGCGGCGGACGGGUGAGUAACACGUGGAUAACCUACCUAUAAGACUGGGAUAACUUCGGGAACCCGGAGCUAAUACCGGAUAACAUGUUGAACCGCAUGGUUCAACAGUGAAAGACGGUCUUGCUGUCACUUAUAGAUGGAUCCGCGCCGCAUUAGCUAGUUGGUAAGGUAACGGCUUACCAAGGCAACGAUGCGUAGCCGACCUGAGAGGGUGAUCGGCCACACUGGAACUGAGACACGGUCCAGACUCCUACGGGAGGCAGCAGUAGGGAAUCUUCCGCAAUGGGCGAAAGCCUGACGGAGCAACGCCGCGUGAGUGAAGAAGGUCUUCGGAUCGUAAAACUCUGUUAGUAGGGAAGAACAAAUGUGUAAGUAACUAUGCACGUCUUGACGGUACCUAAUCAGAAAGCCACGGCUAACUACGUG